CCUACGGGAGGCAGCAGUGAGGAAUAUUGGUCAAUGGGCUUACGCCUGAACCAGCCAAGUCGCGUGAGGGAAGACUGCCCUAUGGGUUGUAAACCUCUUUUGUCAGGGAGCAACGUCGGCUACGUGUAGCCGGACUGAGAGUACCUGAAGAAAAAGCAUCGGCUAACCCCGUGCCAGCACCCGCGGAAAUACGGAGGAUGCGAGCGUUAUCCGGAUUUAUUGGGUUUAACGGAGGCGUAGGCGGAAUGCCAAGUCAGCGGUAAAAUCGUGGGGCACAACCUCGCUCCGCCGUUGAAACUGGCGGUCUUGAGUGGGCGAGAAGUGUGCGGAAUGCGUGGUGUAGCGGUGAAAUGCAUAGAUAUCACGAAGAACUCCGAUUGCGAAGGCAGCAUACCGGCGCCCAACUGACGCUGAAGCACGAAAGCGUGGGUAUCGAACAGGAUUAGAUACCCUUGUAGUC
rnacentral:rRNA from 1 species